UCGUAAUCGUCUAGGUAAUAAAAAUUUAAAAAAAAAAAAAUGUUGUAAGUUUUUAGUUUUGCAAUAUAUUUUUUUUUUAAUACAAUA
rnacentral:snoRNA from 1 species